CCCCGGUAAACGGCGGCCGUAACUAUAACGGUCCUAAGGUAGCGAAAUUCCUUGUCGGGUAAGUUCCGACCUGCACGAAUGGCGUAAUGAUGGCCAGGCUGUCUCCACCCGAGACUCAGUGAAAUUGAACUCGCUGUGAAGAUGCAGUGUACCCGCGGCAAGACGGAAAGACCCCGUGAACCUUUACUAUAGCUUGACACUGAACACUGGUCCUUGAUGUGUAGGAUAGGUGGGAGGCUUUGAAGUGUGGACGCCAGUCUGCAUGGAGCCAUCCUUGAAAUACCACCCUUUAAUGGCUGGUGUUCUAACGUGGGCCCGUAAUCCGGGUUGCGGACAGUGUCUGGUGGGUAGUUUGACUGGGGCGGUCUCCUCCUAAAGAGUAACGGAGGAGCACGAAGGUCAGCUAAUCCUGGUCGGACAUCAGGAGGUUAGUGCAAUGGCAUAAGCUGGCUUGACUGCGAGCGUGACGGCGCGAGCAGGUGCGAAAGCAGGUCAUAGUGAUCCGGUGGUUCUGAAUGGAAGGGCCAUCGCUCAACGGAUAAAAGGUACUCCGGGGAUAACAGGCUGAUACCGCCCAAGAGUUCAUAUCGACGGCGGUGUUUGGCACCUCGAUGUCGGCUCAUCACAUCCUGGGGCUGAAGUAGGUCCCAAGGGUAUGGCUGUUCGCCAUUUAAAGUGGUACGCGAGCUGGGUUUAGAACGUCGUGAGACAGUUCGGUCCCUAUCUGCCGUGGGCGCUGGAGAAUUGAGGGGGGCUGCUCCUAGUACGAGAGGACCGGAGUGGACGCAUCACUGGUGUUCGGGUUGUCAUGCCAAUGGCAUUGCCCGGUAGCUAAAUGCGGAAGAGAUAAGUGCUGAAAGCAUCUAAGCACGAAACUUGCCCCGAGAUGAGUUCUCCCUGACCCUUUAAGGGUCCUGAAGGAACGUUGAAGACGACGACGUUGAUAGGCCGGGUGUGUAAGCGCAGCGAUGCGUUGAGCUAACCGGUACUAAUGAACCGUGAGGCUUAACCUU
rnacentral:rRNA from 1 species